rnacentral:rRNA from 1 species
UACGGGGGGAGCAAGCGUUGUUCGGAUUUACUGGGCGUAAAGGGCGCGGUAGGCGGUCGUGACAAGUCACUUGUGAAAUCUCCGGGCUUAACUCGGAACGGUCAAGUGAUACUGUCGGACUAGAGUACAGAAGGGGCAACUGGGAAUUCUCGGUGUAGCGGUGAAAUGCGUAGAUAUCGAGAGGAACACCUGCGGCGAAGGCGGGUUGCUGGGCUGAUACUGACGCUGAGGCGCGAAAGCCAGGGGAGCGAACGGG